rnacentral:rRNA from 1 species
GACGAACGCUGGCGGCGUGCUUAACACAUGCAAGUCGAACGGAAAGGCCCUGCUUUUGUGGGGUGCUCGAGUGGCGAACGGGUGAGUAACACGUGAGUAACCUGCCCUUGACUUUGGGAUAACUUCAGGAAACUGGGGCUAAUACCGGAUAGGAGCUCCUGCUGCAUGGUGGGGGUUGGAAAGUUUCGGCGGUUGGGGAUGGACUCGCGGCUUAUCAGCUUGUUAGUGGGGUAGUGGCUUACCAAGGCUUUGACGGGUAGCCGGCCUGAGAGGGUGACCGGCCACAUUGGGACUGAGAUACGGCCCAGACUCCUACGGGAGGCAGCAGUGGGGAAUAUUGCACAGUGGGCGGAAGCCUGAUGCAGCAACGCCGCGUGCGGGAUGACGGCCUUCGGGUUGUAAACCGCUUUCGCCUGUGACGAAGCGUGAGUGACGGUAAUGGGUAAAGAAGCACCGGCUAACUACGUG